AAAAAAGACUGUCUCCACUAUUUCAUGAAUCCAAACUAUUUUAAAAAGAGGAUUUUCCCCUAACCAUCAGUUCUGAAAAAUGCAAGGAAGCUCAAGCUCCAGGUUAUUGGGUUGCUGAACUCCCAUGAACCAAAAAGAAAACACUGAAUGGUAUCCAAACCAGCCUGGAAAGGACAGCGAGAAAAGCCAGAACCAAGGCUGACCAGCCUGAAUGCUGGUAAAUGUUAUCAAGAAUCUGGAGCAGGAGCCUCAGUCUCCUAUCAAAAGGAGAAGAACCUGAAGAAAACACUUCUCUUCCUUCUCUCUGCCUAGGGGCAGUGACCUUGGAUUCAACCACCAUCAUCCCUUCCAGACACCAGAGGGGGGAGUCCCACAAGGCAGAAGGUGCCCCUGUGACCCAUCCACUUCUCUUCCAUGUUCUUUACCUCCUUGCUCAGGAAGCCAUAAAGUUGAGCUGAGUGGAAGGUGAAUUUCAUUGCAAAGUUUACACAGGCUCUGCUGACAGGUUCAUGAAAACACUACUGAAUAUGUUACAUACCACCAAGGCUCACAGCACAUCCUGUGUUGGAAGUGAUACUUUUCCAUUACCAGUAAACCUCCUUUUGUCCUAGGAGCUCACUGAACAGCUAAAAUCAGGUGAUAUUUUUAUGUGGAACAUGCAACGUAUUAAGUCCUUUUGCUCAGUGACCCAAAAAGGAACUAAACGGUACCCAGACUAGAAAUCAAUGUCAAAUUAUUCAAAUAAAUUCCACUUAAAGAAUGGUGGUUUGGAAAGCGCUCAGUCAGAAAGAAUUCUCCCAAGAUUAGUUUACUGUGAAGUAGAAGGGAAGAACGUUUUAACUUUGGUUGGAAAUCUGAUGACAUUACAUAGAAGGUGAUGAAACAUCCUCUAAGAAACGGUUCUGAUCCAUUGUAUGGCACCCCCCUCUCACAUUCCCCCAUUUUACCCACUAAAGAAGUUCUUUUACAAGAGGCUAAGGAAACCAAGCAAUAUAAGAUCUAAUCAAAACUGAGUGCUGGAAAUGUGUGGGGAGAAAUCCAUAAUUAAACUGAGCAAUUAACUCCAGAAAGUUAACUGGGGCCAACUCUGACACUGCUAUAAAGUUAUAAAAUCUCCAGCAUCUCAUUUCUUUGUCCCUCUACCCAAUUUCCCCUCAAAGGUAAGCCUCUCUUUCUCUCUCCUCUCUUCUUCAUAUUUAAUAAAACUGUUUGCCAGAAAGGAAAGAAUCUUAGGUUAGUCAUUUACACUUUAGUGCGAAUUAAAGCCAGUGUGUCAACUCUCACAGGAAUGAGAAUUUCAAGCCAUACUUCUAAUUGUGGAAUGGCUGUCAUUGAAUUCUUUUAAGGGUAUUUCAUGGAACAACUAAAUAUAAGGAAGAGGAGAGAAACUGCCCAAGUCUGCCUAUGCCUAAAGUCAGCCUUAAGUUCAAUCUUGAGGGUGACAGCUUUCAUCUGCCACUCCCAAUUGAAAGUGAAUUCAGAUUAAUUCCUAGAUGUUUGUUUGUUGUUUUUUUUUUUUUUUUUUUUUUUUUUUUUUUUUUUUUGGGACGGAGUCUCGCUCUGUCGCCCAGGCUGGAGUGCAGUGGCGGGAUCUCGG
rnacentral:lncRNA from 1 species